UACAGGCUUAACACAUGCAAGUCGAGGGGCAGCAUUCCAGUUUGCUUGCAAACUGGAGAUGGCGACCGGCGCACGGGUGAGUAACACGUAUCCAACCUGCCGAUAACUCGGGGAUAGCCUUUCGAAAGAAAGAUUAAUACCCGAUGGCAUAAUAGAACCGCAUGGUUUGAUUAUUAAAGAAUUUCGGUUAUCGAUGGGGAUGCGUUCCAUUAGGCAGUUGGUGGGGUAACGGCCCACCAAACCUUCGAUGGAUAGGGGUUCUGAGAGGAAGGUCCCCCACAUUGGAACUGAGACACGGUCCAAACUCCUACGGGAGGCAGCAGUGAGGAAUAUUGGUCAAUGGACGAGAGUCUGAACCAGCCAAGUAGCGUGAAGGAUGACUGCCCUAUGGGUUGUAAACUUCUUUUAUAUGGGAAUAAAGUGGUCCACGUGUGGAUUUUUGUAUGUACCAUAUGAAUAAGGAUCGGCUAACUCCGUGCCAGCAGCCGCGGUAAUACGGAGGAUCCGAGCGUUAUCCGGAUUUAUUGGGUUUAAAGGGAGCGUAGGUGGACAGUUAAGUCAGUUGUGAAAGUUUGCGGCUCAACCGUAAAAUUGCAGUUGAUACUGGCUGUCUUGAGUACAGUAGAGGUGGGCGGAAUUCGUGGUGUAGCGGUGAAAUGCUUAGAUAUCACGAAGAACUCCGAUUGCGAAGGCAGCUCACUGGACUGCAACUGACACUGAUGCUCGAAAGUGUGGGUAUCAAACAGGAUUAGAUACCCUGGUAGUCCACACAGUAAACGAUGAAUACUCGCUGUUUGCGAUAUACAGUAAGCGGCCAAGCGAAAGCAUUAAGUAUUCCACCUGGGGAGUACGCCGGCAACGGUGAAACUCAAAGGAAUUGACGGGGGCCCGCACAAGCGGAGGAACAUGUGGUUUAAUUCGAUGAUACGCGAGGAACCUUACCCGGGCUUAGAUUGCAUUUGAAUAUAUUGGAAACAGUAUAGUCGUAAGACAAAUGUGAAGGUGCUGCAUGGUUGUCGUCAGCUCGUGCCGUGAGGUGUCGGCUUAAGUGCCAUAACGAGCGCAACCCUUAUCUUUAGUUACUAACAGGUCAUGCUGAGGACUCUGGAGAGACUGCCGUCGUAAGAUGUGAGGAAGGUGGGGAUGA
rnacentral:rRNA from 1 species